rnacentral:rRNA from 1 species
GAUGAACGCUAGCGGCAGGCCUAAUACAUGCGAGUCGAACGAUAUCUUCCAGCUUGCUGGAAGAGAAAGUGGCGCACGGGUGCGUAACGCGCAUGCAACCUACCUUUAUCAGGGGGAUAGCCCGGAGAAAUCCGGAUUAAUACCGCAUAACAUCAUUGGAUAGCAUUAUUUUAUGAUCAAACAUUUAUGGGAUAAAGAUGGGCAUGCGUGUCAUUAGCUAGUUGGCGGGGUAACGGCCCACCAAGGCGACGAUGACUAGGGGAUCUGAGAGGAUGGCCACCCACACUGGUACUGAGACACGGACCAGACUCCUACGGGAGGCAGCAGUAAGGAAUAUUGGUCAAUGGAGGGAACUCUGAACCAGCCAUGCCGCGUGCAGGAAGACUGCCCUAUGGGUUGUAAACUGCUUUUAUCCGGGAAUAAACCUGAGUACGUGUACUUAGCUGAAUGUACCGGAAGAAUAAGGAUCGGCUAACUCCGUGCCAGCAGCCGCCGUAACAC